rnacentral:rRNA from 1 species
UACGUAGGUGGCAAGCGUUGUCCGGAAUUAUUGGGCGUAAAGCGCGCGCAGGUGGUUUCUUAAGUCUGAUGUGAAAGCCCACGGCUCAACCGUAGAGGGUCAUUGGAAACUGGGGAACUUGAGUGCAGAAGAGGAAAGUGGAAUUCCAAGUGUAGCGGUGAAAUGCGUAGAGAUUUGGAGGAACACCAGUGGCGAAGGCGACUUUCUGGUCUGUAACUGACACUGAGGCGCGAAAGCGUGGGGAGCGAACAGG